rnacentral:misc_RNA from 1 species
ACGGACGAGGGCGACUACCAGAUCAAGAUGCGCAACCUGCGCCGCUUCAUCGAGGAAGACGGCGACAAGGGCAAGGUCACGCUGCGCUACCGCGGCCGCGAGAUCACCCACCAGGACAUCGGCAUGCGCCUGCUGGAGCGCAUUCGCGACGAACUGGCCGAUGUGGCCGUCGUCGAGAACAUGCCGAAGCUCGAAGGGCGCCAGAUGAUCAUGGUGCUGGGUCCGAAGAAGCGUUGAAGUUUUGAGAGUUCAGCGCGCCGGUCUGGUCACCGGCGCGUUGCAAGAAGCCCCUCCAGGCCAACAAGACCGCAA